AGUGGACCAGCAUCUUGUUGUAUGUGCCCAGCAUCAUCUAUGCCAUCGUGAUUGAGAUCAUGAACCGUCUCUAUCGAUAUGCUGCUGAGUUUUUAACCUCCUGGGAGAAUCAUAGAUUGGAAUCUGCCUAUCAGAAUCACCUAAUUCUGAAAGUUUUAGUGUUCAACUUUCUAAAUUGCUUUGCCUCCCUCUUCUACAUUGCCUUUGUCCUGAAGGAUAUGAAGCUUUUGCGCCAGAGUCUGGCCACUCUCCUGAUUACCUCCCAGAUCCUUAACCAAAUUGUGGAAUCUCUUCUUCCUUAUUGGCUCCAAAGGAAGCAUGGUGUGCAGGUAAAGAGGAAGCUUCAAGCUUUAAAGGCAGACGUUGAUGCUACGUUAUAUGAACAAGUCAUCCUGGAAAAAGAGAUGGGAACUUAUAUGGGUACCUUCGAUGAUUACUUGGAGUUGUUCCUGCAGUUUGGUUAUGUGAGCCUGUUCUCAUGUGUUUAUCCAUUGGCAGCUGCCUUUGCCGUAUUAAAUAACUUCACUGAAGUCAAUUCAGAUGCCUUAAAAAUGUGCAGGGUCUUCAAACGUCCAUUCUCAGAACCUUCAGCCAGUAUUGGUGUUUGGCAGUUGGCUUUUGAAACAAUGAGUGUCAUAUCCGUGGUCACUAACUGUGUUCUGAUUGGAAUGUCACCUCAAGUGAAUGCAGUCUUCCCAGAGUCAAAAGUGGACCUCAUUUUGAUUGUGGUAGCUGUGGAGCAUGUGCUCCUGGCUUUGAAGUUUAUACUUGCAUUUGCUAUACCUGAUAAACCACGACAUAUCCAGAUGAAACUGGCCCAAUUGGAAUUUGAAUCUUUGGAGGCACUCAAGCAGCAGCAAAUGAAGCUUGUGGCCGAGAACCUGAAGGAGGACCCAAGGGAAAGCAAGGAGAAAGAGCCCUGAGCAUGCAGCGUGCCCCGCUGCCCUCCCACAGAGGCCUGUAUCUACACCGCACCUGCCACUUGUGCGUGGGCAGGAAGGGUACCGGGCGGCAGCGUGAAACCUGAACCCACACUCAGUACUUGGCCAAAUGAAGUGAUGCUUCCCUCAUGGCAAGCACCAUUCUCACUCAGCAGUGUCCCAGCUCAGCAUGGGCAGAAGAGAAUAGCCAGGACCUUUGGCAGCUCUUGGCACCCAGCCCUGCUUGCUCCUUCCAGGUUCCUUCCCAGCCCUACAAGCCACUCCAGUGACCUGGCUUCACUCCAGACCACUGCUGUCCUUAUGCCUCUCACCACAAAGGAGCUGCCAGCUCUCCAUAUUGCUCUUGCAGUGACGUUCAUUCCUGACCCCAUCAGGGACCUGUGGAUGGGGGUAGGGUGUGUGCCUGCUGUUCUUCCAACAGGAGCCAUCUAAAGAGGUGUUCCUGCCAAGCCUCAGUUGUGAUGAAGGGGCACAGGAGGCAGUGUUGCCCACGCUUGGACCUCUUUUCUCUCUUUUGCAAUAGUUCACAGACUCCUUGUCAACAAAAACAAUAGUAAAAGCUAUUAAAGGCAA